rnacentral:pre_miRNA from 2 species
CGACUAAUUGCUGGGAUAUAUGGAAAUUACAUGUUUAAUUUUUAAAGAAACUGACAAACUUUUUUUCAGAGUGGCUGUGCCAUUUUACACUCCCACCAGCAAU